rnacentral:rRNA from 1 species
ACUCAAAGGAAUAGACGGGGGCCCGCACAAGCAGCGGAGCGUGUGGUUUAAUUCGAGGCUACACGAAGAACCUUACCUGGGUUUGACAUGCAAGUGGUAGUGGGCGGAAACGUUCGCGACCUUCGGGAGCUUGCACAGGUGCUGCAUGGCUGUCGUCAGCUCGUGCCGUGAGGUGUUAGGUUAAGUCCUGUAACGAGCGCAACCCCCGGUAGUAGUUACACGUGUCUACUACGACUGCCCGUGACAAGCGGGAGGAAGGUGGGGAUGACGUCAAGUCAGCAUGGCCUUUAUAUCCAGGGCUACACACACGCUACAAUGGUCGGUACAAUGGGACGCGAAAGUGCAAACUGGAGCAAAUCCUGCAAAGCCGGUCACAGUUCGGAUUGUGGGCUGCAACCCGCCCACAUGAAGUUGGAGUUGCUAGUAACCGCGCGUCAGCCAUAGUGCGGUGAAUACGUUCCCGGGCCUUGUACACACCGCCCGU